rnacentral:rRNA from 1 species
UACGGGGGGAGCAAGCGUUGUUCGGAAUUACUGGGCGUAAAGGGCGCGUAGGCGGCCUCUUAAGUCGAACGUGAAAUCCCCGGGCUUAACCCGGGAACUGCGUCCGAUACUGGGGGGCUUGAAUUCGGGAGAGGGAUGCGGAAUUCCAGGUGUAGCGGUGAAAUGCGUAGAUAUCUGGAGGAACACCGGUGGCGAAGGCGGCAUCCUGGACCGACAUUGACGCUGAUGCGCGAAAGCCAGGGGAGCAAACGGG